UAAAGCAUAGCGUUAAUGCGUUGGAUACCAUUAGAACUCCACAGUUAAUCAUGCUCAAGCUAAAGUAGUAUUGGGAUGGGUGACCGCCAGGGAAGUCCUAGUGUUUUGC
rnacentral:rRNA from 1 species